UAAGCUCAAUUGCCUGAUGACUGCGUGCGGUGCUCUUGAACGAUACAGAUUUGAAUGAAUGUGAAGAGCAGCCUAAACCGUGUGAGCAGGAAUGCUCUAACGUCAUCGGAAGCUACAGGUGCUCCUGUUCUCCUGGGUUCACACAGGAUCCCGUUGUUGCUAACAGAUGCAUUGAUGUUGAUGAGUGCCAGAGUAAUCCUUGCACAAAUUCUGGCACCUGUCAAAACAUGGUAAAUAAAUUCUCCUGCCAUUGUACCAGUGGGUGGACCGGUGUCUACUGUGAUGAAGAUGUAAAUGAAUGUGCCUCUAGACCAUGCUCCCAUGGAGGGACCUGUGUCAACACACAGGGCUCCUUCUCUUGCACAUGUGCACCCGGUUGGAGUGGGAACCUCUGUUCACUGCUUGUGGAUGAAUGUGCGUCCAACCCGUGCAUCCACGGCACCUGUGUGGAUCAGGUCAACGCCUUCUUCUGCAGAUGUGACGAGGGGUGGUCGGGCGAGACAUGCACUACGAGUGAGUCCUGAUCAUGCUCGUCUUCACUGAAAAACUUUUUAAAUCGAACACGGCUCAGCUUGCCUCACAUACAUAUGGAGUAUAACAAAAAAAGUGUCUUUAGCCCAGUACAUGUGCUUCGUUCAUAACAACCUCCCAAACACCUUCCUGGGGUGCGAGUAGGCAGAUGCACUACUACGAUAACUGAACGGCAACCCAGGAAUAGAUAGUUCACUUCUACCCCUUACUAUUGAUUGUUGUGCCACUUAAUGCCCUUAAGCUGAAGU